rnacentral:rRNA from 1 species
UACAGAGGGGGCAAGCGUUAUUCGGAAUUAUUGGGCGUAAAGGGCGCGUAGGCGGCUUGGCAAGUGGAUGGUGAAAUCCCUCGGCUUAACCGAGGAACUGCCGUCCAAACUGCUUUGCUUGAGACCGGGAGAGGUGAGUGGAAUUCCCAGUGUAGCGGUGAAAUGCGUAGAUAUUGGGAGGAACACCAGUGGCGAAGGCGGCUCACUGGACCAGUACUGACGCUGAGGCGCGAAAGCGUGGGGAGCGAACAGG